UACGUAGGGGGCUAGCGUUGUCCGGAAUCAUUGGGCGUAAAGAGCGUGUAGGCGGCCAGGUAGGUCUGCUGUGAAAACUCGAGGCUUAACCUCGAGAUGUCGGCGGAAACCAUCUGGCUAGAGUCCGGAAGGGGAGAAUGGAAUUCCCGGUGUAGCGGUGAAAUGCGCAGAUAUCGGGAAGAACACCCGUGGCGAAGGCGGUUCUCUGGGACGGUACUGACGCUGAGACGCGAAAGCGUGGGGAGCGAACAGG
rnacentral:rRNA from 1 species